UACGGCCACAUCUGUUGAAACAUCUGCUCCCGUACUAUCACCGAAGCUAAGCAACGUCGAGCCUGGUCAAUACUUAGAUGGGUGACCGCUUGGGAAAAUCAGGUGCUGUAAU